rnacentral:rRNA from 1 species
GACGAACGCUGGCGGCGUGCUUAACACAUGCAAGUCGAGCGGUAAGGCCCUUUCGGGGGUACACGAGCGGCGAACGGGUGAGUAACACGUGGGUGACCUGCCCUUAGCUCUGGGAUAAGCCUGGGAAACUGGGUCUAAUACCGGAUAUGACUCCAUGACGCAUGUUGUGGGGUGGAAAGCCUUGUGCGGCUAGGGAUGGGCCCGCGGCCUAUCAGCUUGUUGGUGGGGUGANGGCCUACCAAGGCGACGACGGGUAGCCGGCCUGAGAGGGCGACCGGCCACACUGGGACUGAGACACGGCCCAGACUCCUACGGGAGGCAGCAGUGGGGAAUCUUGCGCAAUGGGCGAAAGCCUGACGCAGCGACGCCGCGUGGGGAUGACGGCCUC